rnacentral:rRNA from 1 species
CCUACGGGAGGCAGCAGUAGGGAAUUUUCGUCAAUGGGCGCAAGCCUGAACGAGCGAUGCCGCGUGAGUGAAGAAGGCCUUCGGGUCGUAAAGCUCUGUUGCGGGGGAAAAAAGGCAGCAUCAGGAAAUGGGUGCUGACUGAUGGUGCCCCGCCAGAAAGUCACGGCUAACUACGUGCCAGCAGCCGCGGUAAUACGUAGGGGGCGAGCGUUAUCCGGAAGGAUUGGGCGUAAAGGUUGCGCAGGCGGUCCUGCAAGUCUGGAGUGAAACGCAUGAGCUCAACUCAUGCAUGGCUUUGGAAACUGGAGGACUGGAGAGCAGGAGAGGGCGGUGGAACUCCAUGUGUAGCGGUAAAAUGCGUAGAUAUAUGGAAGAACACCAGUGGCGAAGGCGGCCGCCUGGCCUGUUGCUGACGCUGAGGCACGAAAGCGUGGGGAGCAAAUAGGAUUAGAUACCCCAGUAGUC